AUGAGCAUGCUCAAGUCUUUCCCGCACGGUAUCGCCAUGCCGGCACAGGCCCAUCCAAGCUGGUUUAGGAACCGGGUUGCCACAAGAGCUGGGACACGGGCCUGCAAGUUCACCGCGACAGCUCAUUUCGAGGACACGGUGACGGGAAUGCCGGUGCCAGAGCAGGCGGAGGCGGAGGUGGCGCGGAGUCUGAACCUAGGCGGGUGGGUGCAGGAACAGAUGUUGCCGCUGCUCACCUCGGUGGAGGACGCGUGGCAGCCCAGCGACCUGCUUCCCUGCUUUUCACUUUCUUCAGCAGGUAGCGUUGCCGAGGAGCAGCAGCCGUCGAUGACGAUGAUGGUGGAGGAGCUGCAGGCCCGAGCGUCGGGCGUGCCGGACGACGUGCUGGUGUGCCUGGUGGGCAACAUGGUAACGGAGGAAGCGCUGCCGACGUACAUGUGCAUGAGCAACCGAGUGGUGGGCAACCGCGACGACACGGGUUGCAGCGAGCCCCCCUGGGCGCGCUGGCUCCGGGGCUGGACGGCCGAGGAGAACCGCCACGGCGACCUCCUCAACCGCUAUCUCUACCUCUCCGGCCGCGUCGACAUGCGCCGGGUUGAGAGGACCGUCCACCACCUCCUCCGCAACGGUAUGCAGAUGCUGAGGCCGUCUAGCCCCUACCACAACGUCGGCUACACUUCCUUCCAGGAGCGCGACACCUUCAUCUCGCACUCCCACACCGCAAGGCACGCCAUGCGCCACGGCGACCGCUGCCUCGCCAAGAUCUGCGGCGUCGUGGCCGCCGACGAGAAGCGCCACGAGGCGGCAUACACUAAGGCAGCCGCCAAGCUCUUCGAGCUCGACCCGGACGGGAUGGUGCGAGCGGUGGCCGCCGUUCUGCGCGACAAGAUCACCAUGCCCGGCCAGCUCAUGACAGACGGCCGAGACGCCGAUCUCUUCGCGAAAUUCUCGGCGGUCGCGCAGCGCACCGGGGUGUACACGGCAAGGGACUACGGCGACAUGGUGGAGCACUUCGUGCGGAGGUGGAAGGUGGCUGACCUCGCCGGGGGUCAGCUGUCCGGCGAGGGGCGGCGCGCUCAGGAGUACGUUUGCGGGCUGCCGCGCAAGAUCCGGCGGGUGGAGGAGCUGGCCCACGACCGCGCGAUCAAAGCCGCGAAAGAGCCCGAGUUCGCAAGGUUCAGCUGGGUCUUCGACAGGUCUGUCUGCAUCACAGGCAGAGCCUAA
rnacentral:rRNA from 1 species